UGGGGAAUUUUGCGCAAUGGGGGAAACCCUGACGCAGCAACGCCGCGUGAGUGAUGAAGGCCUUCGGGUCGUAAAGCUCUGUCAGAGGGGAAGAAAUGCAGGGGUGCUAAUAUCAUCUUUGCUUGACGGUACCCUCAAAGGAAGCACCGGCUAACUCCGUGCCAGCAGCCGCGGUAAUACGGAGGGUGCAAGCGUUGUUCGGAAUUAUUGGGCGUAAAGCGCGUGUAGGCGGUUUGGUAAGUCUGAUGUGAAAGCCCCGGGCUCAACCUUGGAAAUGGAAUGGGAACUGUCAGACUUGAAUACGGGAGAGGGUAGUGGAAUUCCUAGUGUAGGAGUGAAAUCCGUAGAUAUUAGGAGGAACACCGGUGGCGUAGGCGGCUACCUGGACCGAUAUUGACGCUGAGACGCGAAAGCGUGGGGAGCAAACAG
rnacentral:rRNA from 1 species